rnacentral:rRNA from 1 species
GACAGAGGUUGCAAACGUUGUUCGGAAUUAUUGGGCGUAAAGCGCGUGUAGGCGGCUUUGCAAGUCGGGUGUGAAAGUCCUCGGCUCAACCGAGGAAGUGCGCCCGAAACUGCAGAGCUUGAGUACCGGAGAGGAUGGCGGAAUUCCCCAAGUAGAGGUGAAAUUCGUAGAUAUGGGGAGGAACACCGGUGGCGAAGGCGGCCAUCUGGACGGAUACUGACGCUGAGACGCGAAAGCGUGGGGAGCAAACAGG